GGUUGUAUUUCAAAAGAAUGGCACUCAAGUCUUUCAGGGUGACUCUGCUGAGCUUUAAGAGAUCUACAGCUUCAACUGCAAGCUCUUUUUAUUAAAUGCUCUGGGAAAGGAAGCUCAGGAGCCUGUUGGCCGGAGUAAGGGUUGGUUCCAGCUGGGGUCGUCCCGAGUGCUCCGGGAGUCACACAGGCCAGCCUCUUCGGGCAAGGGAGCACACAGAGCCUCCCACUGAGGCUUCUGCAUUUCUCAGGAGGUCGAACACAACCGUUUUAUUCUUUGGUGCCUGCACUGAUAGCUCUCCAGAAAUUGAAUUAUUUGCCCCUGUUUAAACUUUGGGGGAAAUGUUCCCGCAGGAGGGAGCCAUUCCCACGCUCUUUGAGGAAUACAAGAGUGGUUGAAGUUUGAAGACCAAUUUCCGUAUCCAAUUUCCCCAAGAAUGUUCUCUGAUUCUGGGGCUACGCCAGUCCUUAUCACUAACCCAGAGUGCGGAACGACCCUGGGUCUUCCCUUCCCCUCCGCCGAAAGUCUGCACCACAGAGACGCAGCUGUCGGGACUUCGCUCCUAGAGCGGCGACGGAAGUUCUCGGGCGGGGCCUCAGGCGAGUUCCGGCCGCGGUGGGCGGGCGGCCGUGCGGGCUUUGUCGGCAACUGUGCGGGUAUUAUCGGCGGCCUGCUGGGCUGUGGGCUUCUCCAGCCUCAGGCCAGAACCGUUCUCUUGCCCUUGGGCACCAGAAGAAGAAGGAGCGAAGCAGAAAUAUAAAAUUUCUGAUUUUAACCAAGUGUGGUACCGCAUUCCUGUAAUCCCAGCACCCUGGGAGGCUGAGGCAGGAGGAUCACAAAUUCAAGCCUAAUCUGGACAAUUAAGUGAGAACCGUCACAAAAACGGGCUGGGGGUGCUGGUGAUUUAGCUCAGUGGUGUUUUUGCCUGCCUGGAAAGCGCAAGGUAGUUCGAUCCCCAGUACCAAAAAAAAGGUGGGGGGGCUUGGGAUUUAGUUUAGUGUGAAGACCCUGGGUUCAAUUCUCAGUAUUGCCUCCCCUAAUUGCUAACUUUGAGACAAAUGCUUUUCUUUUUUAAAUAAUGACUUUAUUUAUUUGGCAGUGCUAGGGAUCAAAUUCAACUUUUUGCAUGUUAGAGAAGGACUCUACCACUGAGCUACCUCCCAGCCUUGUGACAAAGGUCUCUUCAAAGCAGGAAAUAUUUUUUGUGGGGCAGGGUAGGACAGGGUCUCACUUUGUCAUGCAGACUGGCCUUUGUAGCCCAGUCUGGCCUCAAACUCACAAUGAUCCUCCUGUAUCAGCCUCCUGAGUGCAGGGAUUACAGGCAUGUACCACAAUGCCCAGCAGGGAUAUUCUAUUUUAAACACUACCUCUAAAGUAUAAAAAGAAAAAGAAAAGAAAACUUUUCAGAGGCACAUGACUGGUUUAAACAGAUGCAAGCUUGUUUGCAGGUAGCAUUGCUUAAAAAAUAAACAGCAGGGAGCAGUGGCAACGAGUAUAAUCCCAGCUAUUCAGAAAGCUAGGAGUAGAGGAUUAUAAAUUGAAGAUUAGCUUGGGCAAUUUAAGCAAGAUUCUGUCUCAAGAAUAAAGAUGAGUUUGAUCCCAGUACCAAAAAAAAAAAAAAAGAUGAAACAAAGAGCCAGAUGUGGUGGUGCAUGCUUGUAAGCACAGCACUCUAGGCUGAGGCAGGAGGAUCAGGGUGAGUUUGAGGGCAGCCUGCUCUAUAAAGCAAGAUCUUGUCUCAAAAAAAAAAAAAAAACAAAAAAAGAAUAAAAAGGGUUGGAAAUGUUUCUCAGUGGUAGAGCACUUACCUAGCAUGUGUGAGGGCCUGGGUUCAAUCACCAGUACUGUGAAGGAGAAAAAGGUCAUUAGGUAUCACUAACUUCCAAAAUGAGAAAUUGUACCUCACCCUCAGCCCCUAUUUAUUUAUUUUUUUGGUGUUUUGAAACAAGGUCUCACUCUGUAGUUCAGACUGACCUUGAACUCACUAUGUAUUCCAGGUUGGCCUUGAACUCACAGCAGUCCUUCUGCCUCAGCCUCCCAAGUACUGGGAUUAUAGGUGUGUGCCACCAAGCCCGCUCCCUUUUUAAAUUUGGAAAAAUGGCAAGGUUUAACAUAUAAAAUUACUUUCAAAAUAUUAAUCCCAGCUAAUCUCUAAGCAAAAUGUCCUAUAAAAGUGACACAUCACACUUGAGAAUGAAAAAAAUCUCUCACAAUGAGAAGAUGAAUACCAGAGGCAGGCAGAUCUGAAUUUAUUUUUGUGGUGCUGGGAACUGAAAAUAGAUCUGAAUUUGAAUUUAGCUCUUCUCUUUACUGGUUUAAUGACUCUGGAUGAUUUACUUUCCUUUUAGUCUGUUUCCUCUGUCAACAGAGAGAACACCUACCCUUUGAGGAGGGGAGGAGUGCAUGAGCGAGUGCAGGCCUUUUGUUCAGCAUGGUGCUGAGCUUUGAGAGCCUGAUGAAUAGUCCCCCCUCCUUUCUGUGGUUCUGACUUGGUGGAGGCUCACCAGGAAGGCAUGUGAAGAGCAAAAGUUCACCUUCUUACUAGCCACAGGCUAGGUUGGAACUUUAUACUUCAGACCGAAUGCCUGUUAGACUGAUGCUCACUGGCUGGCUGUACUGUGUGGCUUUCUGCUCUCCUCGUGAGGCUUUCCCUUCUUAAAACUCAAGGCUUUGUGGAGCAGAGCGGAACAUGUACCCCUGGAAACAGCUGGCUUGUAAGGGGUGGAAGAGAUUGAGCUCGAAUGCCUAGCUGCUGUCCCAAGCAUUUUAUUCUGCCAGCUCAACACCUACCUUGGAGAUGGAUGCUGACUUCUACGUGGAGGAGGAGGAGAGAGCUUUAGAAGAUUUUGAGUAGAAAAAUAAUCUGACUUAACGCUUUUAAAGGGUCAUUUUGUUGGAUAUGUGGAAGAGAGAUGGAGAAAGGAGAAAUGAGGCAGGUUCAGGGGCUUGUGUCAAGAAAUGAUGAUGGAAGUUGUAAGAUGUAAUCACAUGUUGGGUGAAAUGUGAAGGUGCAGCUUACAGGUUUGUUAAUGGGUUGGAUAUGGAAAGUGAGACGACUAUUGCAAGAAUUGUGGCCUUGGCAAAUGAGAUGAUGGAGUUCUUAUUAGAGGGGAAAAUUCAAGGAGGAAAAUCAGAAGUUUGAUACAUUAGGUUUGAAAAAGCAAGGUCAUCAGCUGAGGGGCAGGAGGGGAUUUUGGACGUUUAAAAUGAGAGGAAAAGCAGGAGUUAGGGGAGUGUAGCUUUUUGAGUCAUCGGGUAGCGCUGUAUUUAUGGAACACUCAGUCAACAAGAGUGCAGACAAGUCAGGAGGCAAGCUAAAUCUAACCAGAGCUGGGUUGCACACAGGCUGCAGAGGGACAAAGUACAGGGAAGUUGGGGGUAUAUGAAGAGG
rnacentral:lncRNA from 1 species